CCUACGGGAGGCAGCAGUAGGGAAUCUUCCACAAUGGACGCAAGUCUGAUGGAGCAACGCCGCGUGAGUGAAGAAGGUUUUCGGAUCGUAAAGCUCUGUUGUUGGUGAAGAAGGAUAGAGGUAGUAACUGGCCUUUAUUUGACGGUAAUCAACCAGAAAGUCACGGCUAACUACGUGCCAGCAGCCGCGGUAAUACGUAGGUGCCAGCAGCCGCGGUAAUACGUAGAUGCCAGCAGCCGCGGUAAUCCGUCCCAGCAGCCGCGGUAAU
rnacentral:rRNA from 1 species